rnacentral:rRNA from 1 species
CAUGCAAGUCGAACGGGGACCUUCGGGUCUUACCUGGCGCACGGGUGAGUGACGCGUGGGAAUCUACCCCAAAGUCGGGGAUAACCGCUGGAAACGGCGGUUAAUACCGGAUACGCCCUGCGGGGCAAAGCUUUUGCGCUUUGGGAGGAGCCCGCGUCCGAUUAGUUAGUUGGGGGGGUAAAGGCCUACCAAGGCUGCGAUCGGGAGCUGGUCUGAGAGGAUGAUCAGACCCACUGGGGCUGAGACACGGCCCACACUCCUACGGGAGGUGACAGUGGGGAAUCUUGGACAAUGGGGGCAACCCUGAUCCAUCCAUGCCGCGUGGGUGAAGAAGGCCUUAGGGUUGUAAAGCCCUUUCGGCGGGGAAGAUGAUGACGGUACCCGCAGAAGAAGCCCCGGCUAACUCCGUGCCAGCAGCCAGCAGUAAUAUCGGGAGGAGGCGAGCGUUGUUCGGAAUUCACUGGGAGUAAAGGGCGCGUAGCCGGACCCACCAAGUCAGGGGUGAAAGCCCUGGGCUCAACCUAAGAAAGUGCCCUUGAAAACUGAUGGUCUUGAGUCCGGAAGAGGAGAGAGGAAGUCCCAGAGUACAGGUGAAACUAGUAGAUAUUGGGAAGAACACCGGGGGCAAAAGCGGCUCUCUGGACCGGCACUGACGCUGAGGCGCGAAAACGUGGGAAGCAAACAGGAUUACACUACCCUGAUAGUCUCACGCUCUAGACCGAUGUGAGCUCAGAAACUGAGUCAAACUAGUUGCUCAGUGGCGCCAGCCAACGCAUUAAACGCACCGCCUGAGGAGGUACGGCUCGCUAGGAUAAAAAUCAAAGCAAUCGACGAGGGCACGCACAAACGGUGGAACAUGUGGUUUAAUUCGAAGCAAUCACGCACAACCGUGACAAGCCCUGGACAUGUACCUCGGGGACUAAGGAAGACCGAGGCUUUCAAUUCGUGCUGGAGGGGAGCAAAGGGACACCAUGGCUGUGUUCAUCUCGUGUUGUGAGAUGUUGGGUUAAGUCUCGCAACGAGCGCACCACCUCUCCUUAGUUGCCAUCGGGUUACGCCGGGCCCUUUAGGGAAGCUGCCGGUGACAAUCCGGAGGAAGGCGGGGAUGACGUCCAGUUCUCAUGGCCCUUAUGGGCUGGGGUACACCCGUUCUACAAUGGCAGCGACAGAGGGAAGCAAGCCCGCAAGGGUGCGCGUAUCUCCAAUCGCUGUCUCAGUUCGGAUCGCAGUCUGCAACUCGACUGACCAAGCCGGAAUCGCUAGUAAUCGCGGAUCAGAAUGCCCCGGUGAAUUCUUUUCCGGGCCUUGCACUCCCAAGCCGUCACACCAUGGGAGUUGGCUUUAUCAGAAGCCGUUGUUCCAAUCCCCAAGGGAAGCAGC